rnacentral:lncRNA from 1 species
UUUUUUUGGUAAGCUGUGGAAUCCUUUCCUUAAACAGCAUCCUAAAGAAAAACCCACUGUGGAAAUAGUUAAGAGAUGAGUUUUAGGUAACCCCAAUUCCAUUCUGAAUGUAUGGAAUUUCUUCUGCUUCCCCAUUGGAAUUUCUAUAGGGCUCAUCAGACUGCUAAUAGAAAGCCACUGAUUAGUUCCUUCUUAAUAGAAAAUAUGACUGCAAUUUAAUGAGUCCUAUUGUACAAGGAAUAUGCAUAGUCAUAUCAUUUCUUAAUGGCCACACACUGUAAACACUGAACUUCAUUGGUGAGAGGAUAUGCCAACACUAUAGAAUAUCAUUCACUGUGAAACUUAAACCCAUAUGUUUAGAAAAUAAGAAAAGGAAAUCUGUAAUAUCCUGCUUUAUGCUACUAUUAUACAAUGAUUUAUGUUGGUUUUGUUAAAACUUGUGUAUAAUGAAUAUUUUUAUUGCUUUAAUUAAUACUAACUUUGGAAGAAGAAAAAUUGCCCAAGUGGCCUGUGUACAAUGCCAUCUACUAUC